GCUCAAGGUCUGAAUGGGACUUGCGGGGGCUGAUGGCUGAGUCCUCCCUUUCGUUCUUCCCACAGGGAGGGGGAAGCUUGGCCCAGCUCCGCCAGCCCGGUGUUACCGACUUUUCCCCCAUCAGGUGGAUCAAGCGCGGCCCCUCGCAAGCCUUAAAAGGUGCAGCGGGCGGUGGCUCUCCGCCGCGACCCUGGAGGGAGGCCUUGCGGGUCGACGCAGCGGCUUGCAGCGGGCGCAGCUCCGAGCAUGCGCGGCGGCUGUGUGCCCGCCCGCUCGGCACCGCCCUCGGGCUCGGUCCUCCUCCCGCCGCGGCCUGUAGGCUCCCGGAGCAUCCGGGGCUGAUCGCGGAGGAAGAAGCCCUUCACUGAUGUGUCUUCUUGAGCUGUGAUCUUCUCUACAGGAGUGAAGUUUAGCAGAGGUAUCUAAUGAAGAGGAAUCUGAACAUAUCAGCUGAGAAAGGAAAGGGAUUGGGAGAAGACCCCAGAUGUCAUAAGGCAAAUAGAGAAUGAGGCCUUCUCCAUGUGGAGUCAGAGGAGACCCUCCUACACCAGAGGAAAAGAUCUCAGGCUUUUUAAGUUAUUUUCCAUCUUGCCACCUACAAAUCUGAAAUCUAAAGUAAUUGGAUCUCCUUUUAAUCAACAACAAAAGAUGCCUGCACUACAGCUGUUUUUCAUGAAUAUCAUUUUUGAAAAAUUUU